CAGGACGGGAAGGACCCAGACUGACUCAAAGCAUUAAGCUGCGUUUUCUUGACACUUAGGAUUGAAUUCCCAAGCUUGAUCCUGCCUGAGGAAGAAUCCUGGAAAGGGAGGAAGAGCAAAGGAAAGGAGUCGGGAAUGGCCGUCUGUCAGGUGAAGUCAUAUCCUGGGUCGAUUUCCUGUCUCUCAUUCCUGCAAGGCCCUUCUUGGACUUGCUAACCUUGUCUGAGUCUGAAGUGUUUGUCCACACUCCCCCAGGCCUUCCCCCCACCGUCCCUCUCCUCUGCACUUAGAUUCCAGCUCGUAGUGACCCAGGGACCCGAGCCUGUGAGGGGGCUGCACUGGGCACAUCCUGAGGGGCUCCGCAGCAGGCGAGUGGAGACGGGUGGUGUCAGUGUGGCUGGGCUGCAGGGGGUGUUUAGGGGCCGCCUCUGGACACACAGUAGGCUCUCUGUCGACCAGGAUGAAAGAAGCCGUGUGUGGAAGUCCUGGAUUCAUGUGUAGGAAGAGUUGGAAGAUUCUGGAAAAGAAGAGUGGUAAGAAGAAAGCAGCUCUGCCUGACCUUGUAAUGCAUUCAGAGCUAAACAAGUGCACCAUGGUGUUUCUGGUUCCAAACUACUAAUUUAGAAUCAAGUUCAGAAAUCAGCAUCCGUGAUAGUGGAUGUUUUAUUCCAUAGUUGGUUUUACAGUGUGGAGUCAACCUAAUCAAUGGUGAAGGUUUUAAAAAAAAUCAUUCUCAGCACAUCUGUCCCAAAGAGACCAUGGCGUUCCUACAGCAGCUCUUGUGAGGCAGAUGUUUUAGAUGAAAAUGGUGCCCAGAUCUGGAGCAUAGAACUUUAUCUUCACCAUCAGAGAGGCUGUAGCCAUCUGGUUCCACCAUUAUUUUUAAGUAUUAUAUCUCAUUGACCUUAGACAUCACAUGAGUGAGUGACAUGUAUUGAUUGGUUGAUUGAAUAAGCUCCAGACCAAGAAGCAACUUAGGCACGAAGAUGUAGUCAGAAGGGGAUGCCCUUCCCUGUCACAUCCCCACCCUUCAUGUCUCAACAGGGAACCGAUGUUGUCAGUUCUGUGGCAGGAGUCAGUUCAAACCUGAUACAAAUGCAUUUAACACUGGUAUAAAAUUUUAGGAAAUCUCGAUGAAGUUUGUCGUAACAUUUUAUUAUGCAAAUUAGAAAAAUUUACAUAGCACGUCUAGACACUGUUUUCAUGUUAAUCAACACAAUCAGACACAGCUUGCUCAUUUAGAGCCUCAUUGGAUCAUUUUCUUAAUGGGGACACACGGGGACCUUUGCCAUUUUUCGCUGAUGUAAAGAAUGCCACGAUGGCUGUGUAGGAGUAGGCCGGCCUCUCUGCAGAUGUCUCAGGAUUUCUCUGGGUCAGGCAACUCAACGUGUGAUUACUGGAUUAAGGACAGUGCAUUUCACAUUAGGAUAGAUUCUGUCCGAUAUGGUCUCCUAAAGCUACGAGGUACCCCAUCCCACAACAACACGUGAGAUUUCCCCCCUGAUGUAAGCAAAAUUGGUACUGUAAUCUCUUUGUGUUUGAAAAUUGGGGAGAAAUUGACAAUCCGUUGUAUUUCCAUUUUCCACCUACUUGUAACUUUCAUUAGUUUUGUGGGAAUAAAACCUGGAUUUUCAUACUUUGCUGUUCUCCUUUGAUAUAUUUUUAAGGGCUAUUUUAUGGCUUAAUUCUUUACACACAGCCUUGUGUCUUUAUUUUAUCAGUGUUUUGCAGUGAAAUGUAAAUCUUUCCUUCUUGCCCUCUACUUUCUGAUCUUUCUUAGGCAGAUCUGAGCUAGCAUAAUCUCAAGGUAUUAUGUUCUGUUUAGUACUUUUCUUAAAAUUAUCUCCUUAAAUUGGCUUUUUGUAUAUAUCUGGUAGUUAUUUAUUUCAUUGAUUGUAAAGUUUCAUGUAACACACACACAUUAAUAGGUUCAUGUGUUUUUUGGCAAAUCUCUCCAUUUAAUUUUUGUUUUCAAAAUUAUUUUUCCUCAGCACAAUGGCCAUUGUUUCGUUUUUUUUAAAUCCCACAUGUCUUCUGCAUUUGAAUUGCUCUGAGUUUCUAAAUCACUGAGGUCUUUAUGUCACCACACCUCCAGUAAGAAUUAGGUUUGGGGGCGCCUGGGUGGCUCAGUCAGCUGAGCAUCUGCCUUUGGCUCAGGUCAUGAUCUUGUGGUUCAUGAGUUCGAGCCCCGCGUUGGGCUCUUUGCUGACAGCUCGGAGCCUGGAGUCUGCUUCAGAUUCCAUGUCUCCCUCUCUCUCUGCCCCUCCACUGCUCGUGUUCUCUCUCUCUCAAAAAUAAAAAAACAUUAAAAAAAUUAAAAAACAAAAAGAAUUAGGUUUGUCGGUUUUUGGUCAUGUCUUUGUUAUGUCCUUCACAUAGGUUGGGAAAUGUCUUGCAAAUAGGUUCCUCAGUGCAACUUCUAAUGGGAAUGAGUGUUUCCCCCCAGCUGGGCCCAACUUAGGCAUCCAGAGCAGCGGUGAACGGCAGGAGCCUGGCUGGCCCACCUACCUCAGCCUCACCUUCGGUGGAAAUGUUUCCAGUGCUUACUGUGGAUUGUGAUGCUUGGUGGAAAGUUCUCCCUCAAUAAAAACGUUUCAGAUGUCCUGUUUGGUAUGAUUUAAAAAAAAAUUUUUUUUAACAUUUAUAUUUUGAGAGAGACAGAGCAUGAGACGGGGAGGGGCAGAGAGAGGGGAGUCCCAGAUUCUGAAGCAGGCUCUAGGCUCUGAGCUGUCAGCACAGAACCAGAUGCAGGGCUCGAACUCAGGAAGCGAGAGAUCAUGACCUGUGAUCUGAGCUGAAGUCAGAUGCUUAACUAACUGAGCCACCCAGGCGCCCCCCGCCCCUUUCAUGUUUUUGGUUUUUUUAAAUUUUUAAUCAUCCAGUAUUUCUUCAAAGAUCUGCUGUGACCAACCUGUGUUCUAUUUAGUUCAAUUAAUGUACAUUAGUAAAGUUCAUCAACCCGAAUCCUUUUUUUGUUGUUUUUAGUGGAAUAAGCUCCAUUCGAUGCAUACAUUCCAUAAUGGCUAAACGUCUGACUUUAAACGAAAACAUGUAUUUAUAUUUUUGCAUAUAGUUUGUCACACCUGAAGUUACCUCUUGUGCUCUAGAGCCACUAGGUGUGUAGAACUGUCACUCAGGAGAACGUCAGGUGUACAGCGUCCAUAUAAUCAACCACGUGUUGGAUAUUUUUCAUUUAUAUCGUUCUUUUUAUUGUCCACAAAAAUGGGAAGUCUACAGUGAUGUAGUGGAUUCGAUAUCCUCUGAUGGAAAAAUAUAAUGAAACAAAAUUAGGGACCUAAGAAUUGCUCACAGUUACCUGUUCUUGCCCAAAAUGAUAUGUCAGAACGUUCACUUUCGUUGAAUCGGGCCUUACACUGCUCUCCCGCUCAUAUUUUGUGUGAACAGGAGAACUCACCCCCAAGGAUCCGUGGUGAAAUGUGUUUUUCAUUUCAGGAACGGUUGACCUUCAGGGAUGUGGCCAUAGAAUUCUCUCAGGAGGAAUGGGUGUGCCUGGACCCGUCUCAGAGGGCCUUGUACAGGGACGUGAUGCUGGAGAACUACAGGAACCUGGUCUCCCUGGGCAAGGAAAACGUCCCUCCAGAAGUCGGGAUCUGCCCCAGUGAGUCUCUUGGGAGCCCUUGCUCUGCUUGAUGGAGAUUGAGGCUGGGUUCAUUUUGAAAUGAGAACUUCUAUGAGGAGGCAUCCCCUUCCGCUCCCCGUUUCGUCAGAUGGUCUGCCCACCCCACCCUAGAUUAGUGGUGCCUCCAGAAGUUGAGGAAGAACAAAACCUUAUGGCAAACUUUAAAAAAUGUCUCAUUCUGGAUCCACUUAGAUCCGUGUACGUCUGACUAAGUAGUUCUUGGAAGAGAGCUGGAUAUCUAUGUUUUAAAAAUAUUCCAUAAGCAUUCAGGAGAGAGUGAAGAGGCCUGUGGAAUGUUUUUCUAGACAUCUGUAACAUCCUCUCUCCUCAGCUGAACAAAGGGCUGGAAUUGGAUUCUGGAAAAGAUACAGCACAUCACAUUCCUUUUUUUUUUUUUCAUUCCUUUCUUUUUAUAAGUAGGAAUCUCUCUGUCUUGAAUGAUAUCUCUAUUUUGGAGCAAGGGAAAGAGCCUCAGACUGGAGAGCAAGGUGAAAACAGUGAAAAAAACAAACGGGUGGGAACAUAGGCAAGAGCUCAGAAGGGCAGAGAGGAGGCCGCACCGUUAAUGGUGUUUGGGGAACUCUCUGCCAGUGGGGGAGUUCUGUGGGAAAACAAAUGUGUCUUUCUUGUGAGCUCUCAGAGGAAAAGUUUGCUUCCCUUCCCCUCAUCACUCCCUUCUUCAGACAUGUAGAAAUGCAUCCUCCUAGCCCCCGGCUCAUGCAAAGACCAAGGCAAAAUCUUCGUCAUGACCUGUAGCACUCUAUUAAGUGCCCCAUGACCUCUUUUUUUUUUUAAGAUUUUAUUUUUGGGGCACCUGAGUGGUUCAGUUGGUUAAGUGUCGGACUUCGGCCUAGGUCGCGAUCUCCUGGUUUGUGGGUUCCAGCCCCACGUAGGGCUCUGUGCGGACAGCUCAGAGCCUAGAGCCGCUUCGGAUUAUGUAUCCCCCUCUCUCUUUGCCCCUCUCCAGCUCGUGCCCUGUCUCUCAAAAAUAAGUAAAUGUUAAGAUUUUAUUUUUAAGUAAUCUCUCCACCUAACGUGAGGCUCGAUCUUACAAACUCAAGAUCAAGAGUUGCACGCCCCCUUGCUGAGCCAGCCAGGCGUCCAUGCCCCUGUGACCUCUUUUGUUCCUUGACCAUGAAGGGCACUAGGGGGCUGGUUUUAAGGGUUCUCUUUCUCUUUCUCAUUCUUUUCUUGUUCUCAUUCUCUUUCUUUCUUUUCUCAUUCCAUUCUUGUUCCCAGUCCACACGGGUCAGAGCUGAAGCCUCCCCAAUCCUGGCAUCAGGACUUCUCUAGGAUCAUCCUCAAUCUGUGUGCUUAGGAUACCUGCUCCUGGUGUUGGAAAACAUCAGCAUCUGUGGGCCCAGAGCUCUCUGCCUCUUCAGGCCCUUUCUUCAGUUUUGCUUUUGCCCCACGUUAGAGUGUGUGUCACGGGGGUGGGUGGGUCUCUCAAUCCAGCCCUGAAACUGCUUUGACUCAGCAGCAGUAUAAGCACGUCCACACCACACUAUACUGUAAGUUUCGCUAUGUUAUGUGUUUUUGUUACUUUUCUCUCAAAGUAUUUUCUACUUUGCUGUGUGAUACCUUCUUUGACCCAUGGGAUUUUUUAAGCGUUUAAAGAUCUUCAUGUAUUUACGUCCUUUCCAGUUUUCCUUCAGUUACUAAUGUCAAGUUUCAUUCUUCUGUGGUUGGAGAAAAUACUUUGUCUGAUUUCACUCUUUUUCAAUUUGUUGAGACUUACUUCACGGACUGAUAUAUGGUCUGUCCUGGAGACUGUCCCACGUGCAAGUGGGGAAGAAUGUAUUUUGCUCUUAUUGGCGGGGUGCUCCAUAUACGUCUGUCAGUGCUUGCUGGUUUAUACUCGGCUAAAAUUGUCUGUGUCCUUCCUGAAUUUCUGUCUGGAUGUACUCUCCAUCAUUGAAAGUGAGGUCUGGAAGUCUCCAAAUACUCUUCUACAACUAUUUUUAUUUCUCCCUUCAAUUCUAUAAAUAUUUGUUUCAUAUAUCUUGGGGUCUCUUGUGUAUAUGUUCAUAUUUGCUGUAAUUCCUUAAUGAGUUAUACUUUUUAAAAUAUAUAUUGUCCUUUGUCUCAUAACAAUUGUUACUUAAAGUCUGUUUUUUCUGAUACUCCAGACACUAGGAAAACAAAAAAUUCAUUAGAUUCGCAUUGCUCUCUGAGCCCACAGUAUCUCCAAGGUAUGCCUGUAUAUAAAAACUUUCUUCUUUUAUUUUUUAUUUUUUUUAGUGUUUAUUUAUGAGAGAGACAGAGCGCGAGCAGGGGAGGGGCAGAUAGAGAGGGAGACACAAAAUCUGAAGCAGGCUCCAAGCUCUGCACUGUCACCACAGAGCCCAAUGCAGGGCUCAAACUCACAGACUAUAAGAUCAUGACCUGAGCUGGUCAGAUGCUUAACCGACUGAGCCACCCAGGCGCCCCUAAAAACUUUGCUUCUAUAAAUCCUGUCCUUCUCUCCUCUGCUGCUGUCACAAAUUCUGUAUAUAUAUUGUGUGACCAUCAGUGGUUCACAUUUAAAUCACAGAUUUAAAAAAUUUUUUUUUUUUUUUAAUUUUUUUUUUUUCAACGUUUAUUUAUUUUUGGGACAGAGAGAGACAGAGCAUGAACGGGGGAGGGGCAGAGAGAGAGGGAGACACAGAAUCGGAAACAGGCUCCAGGCUCUGAGCCAUCAGCCCAGAGCCUGACGCGGGGCUCGAACUCACGGACCGCGAGAUCGUGACCUGGGUGAAGUCGGACGCUUAACCGACUGCGCCACCCAGGCGCCCCAAAAAAAUUUUUUUUUUUAAAGUUUAUUUAUUUUUGGGACAGAGAGAGGCAGAGCAUGAACGGGGGAGGGGCAGAGAGAGAGGGAGACACAGAAUCGGAAACAGGCUCCAGGCUCCGAGCCGUCAGCCCAGAGCCUGACGCGGGGCUCGAACUCACAGACCGUGAGAUCGUGACCUGGCUGAAGUCGGACGCUUAACCGACUGCGCCACCCAGGCGCCCCUAAAUCACAGAUUUUAAGUACUGUUUGAUGUUGUUGUUUUAAUCAAUAGGGAAAAAGAGUGACAAACCGAAAACACAAUACUAACCUUAUACUCACCAGUCUACUGUCUUUAUUACUGUUUCUUAUUUCUUGAUGUGGAUUUGCGUUUUUGUUUCUUCCUUCAUAUUAGCCUCAAGCAUUCCCUUUACUAAUUUUUUGUUAGACUGGUCUUCCAGCAAGGGACUCCCCAGUUUUGUUUUGUUUUGUUUUUCUGGCAACGUUUUAACUUUUCUUCUAUUUUUGAAGGAUAGUUUGAAGUGUGUAGAAUUCUUAAUAGACCUUUAUUUCUCUUUAGCACUGUGAAAAUGUCAUCCCGUUGCCUUCUGGUCCAUACGGUUUCUGGUGUGAAAUCAUUGGGUAAUUUUAUUGACGAUCUCUUUUACCAGAGGAACUACCCUUUGCCGCUUUCAGGGUUCUGUGUCUUUGGCUUUUGACAGCUUGAUUAUGAAGUGUUUCACUGUGGGCAUCUUUCAGUUUAUCUCACUCGGGCCUUGCUGAACUCCUUGGAUAUGUUUGUCGGUUUAUGUACUUCACCAAAUUUGGGAAUUUUUCUGCCUUAUUACUUCAAAUAUUUUUUCUGCCCAUUUCAUUCUGUCCUCUCCUGGGAUUCCCAUGAUCUGUGUUGGUACACUUGAAAGUGCCCCGCGAGUCUCUUGUUCCAUUCAUUUUUCUUCAUGCUUUUUUCUUCUGCUGAGACUGAGUAAUCUCAGUGGACUUAAUUUGUUCAAUUUGCCUGUUCAAUUUGGUGCUAAACUCCCUUAGGGCUUUUUCCAUUUUAGUUUCUGUACUUUUCAGCUCCAGAAUGUCGAUUCUGGUUCCUUUUUCUAAUUUCUGCCUCUUUCUUGAUAUUCUCAGUUUUGAGAAAUAUUGCUGUCAUUGGGUCCUUUGGUUAUUUGCAUAUGGUCUCUUCAUAGUUCUUUCAGCAUAGUUCUUUCAAAAUAGUGACAUAAAUUCUUUGUCUAGCAAAGUCUGAUGUCUGGGCUUCCUCAGGGACAAUCUUUGUUAAAUUGCUUCUUUUCCUAUGUAUGGGCUAUACAUUAUUGUUGGUUUGCCUGCCUCAUAAUUAUGUUUUUAAGUUAAACAUUUUGAGUAUUAUGACAACUCUGGAAGUCACGUUCUCCCCUACCCAUACCCGCACCUCAGCAUUGCUUAUUGUUGUUUACUGCAGUUGCUGUUGUCUGUUUAGUCAUUUUUCUGAGUCAGUUUUGUAAAGUCUGUAUUCUUUGUCACAUCUGGUUUGCUUAGUGGUGAGCUAGUGAUUAAACGCAUAACUUCUCAAACACCUGGAACCAAAAAAACCAAAAAGCAAGAGACUCCUAGUCUUUGGAAAUAGACUUUGUACGUUUGUUUGGGAAUACCCAAAACUCAGCUUGGCGGUUUACAGUGGGGUCUUAGCCUUUACCUCCUGCUUCUGCCGAGCCUGAAGGUUAGCAGGAGGUGAGGCACAGGGUCACCUCACGUGUUUUCUGAGCACUGGCCCCACCCUGGGAAUGUGCACGACUUAGAUUCCUAGGAACGUGUAGCUGUUUUUCAAAGCCCUUAUUCCCCAAAGCAUUUUACUCCCCAGCCCUUCAUCCCUGGCUUUACAGUGUCUUCUCUUGGCCCCAAGUGUGCCAUCUGCUAGUAUACUUGCCUUUAAAUAUGCUUGUCAAAUGCACACCACUCCCACCCCACCUGGCAAAGCACCACUUGAAUUCGGCAAAGGCAAAACUUUUUGAGCCAGUUUUUCAGUGAGCCACCAAGCAGAUCAAAGUAAAACCCACAAUUCUUAGAGAAUCAAGUCUGUUCUGCCACUCCCAGUACAUGGGACCUAUAGCAGGAACAUGGGCUGCCUCUAUGCUGUAGAGAAUGGGAUUGGGCCAGGGGAAGUUAAAAUGUUAAAAUCUCUCCAACUGAGAUCAGCUGCCUUUUUCUUAAGUACCUAUGUGAUUGCUGUAAAUCUUUGUUUGGUUUCCAGAACUUUGAUAAAGUUGAUUCUGACAGUUUUUGCCAACUUACUUGCUGUUUUUAUAGAGAGAUGGACUUAGAAUAUUCCACGAUUUUCAUGCUGUUACUUUUACCCAGUUCUUUACAAUACUAAUUAUCUGAAAACUGACAUUUCAGAAGCCACUGGGCAUGUGUGUAACUUAGACUGCUAUGAAUAUGUGGAAGCUUUUCUCAACAUGUUUUCCAAUUCUCAUAUUGUGUGCUCUUUCUGGAAUAUAAGUCCUUUCCCUUGUUAUUAAGAGAGAAAUCAUUAGAAUUCCAGUCUAUAAUUGUGUGUAAGUGUGGUUACUUAUUAUUUACCUGUUGGAUUUAUCUUGGUUUAAUUUAAAAAUUUCAUUUAUUAACUUGUCAUCUACAGAUUAGGAGUUUCAGUAUCUAGUAUGGAAUAUGACUGCAAUUCACCAAUUGUUAAAUGUUCUAAAAUGCCUAUUCUGCAUACAGCAUAGACAGUUUUAGAGUAGAUAUUAAGAAUAUUUUCUUAUUCCAAUGAUGUAUUAAAUUCUUCUUGACUUAUUACCUUUUUAUUUUUACUUUUAUAGUUUGUAACUUCCAGGUAUUUAUCUUAUUUUUUUUUGAAAGACUUUAUUUUUAAGGAAUCUCUAUACCCAACAUCGGGCUCAAACUCAUGACCCCGAGAUCAUGAGUCACAUGCUCUACCGACUGAGCCAGCUAGGCGCCCCUAAUUCAUAUUUUUAUGGAUUGUCAUUACUUCAUGUAGAGUUGUGCCUCAUCAUUUGCAUACAGUAAUUAUACUGUAAAUAUGCAUUUGUAUAAUAUGUUUUCAGUACAACACACCUAUUUGUCUACUGGCAUUUGGUGUGUGUUUUGACGUGGUGGGCAAAGAAUACACUUUCUUUCAGAACUUACAUAAGUUUACAUAAUGUGAAUGAUUUGGUCAUAGGGUGUUUCAAAGUAGGUUUCUCUUAAUAUAAUUCGAAAUACAUGUUAUCUUUUAUUAAAAGAUCCUAUUCACUUUGCCUUCUUAAACAUUUACAGACUUUGGCUGAGAAGUUUUUAUUUCUUCAAUGUAAGUUUUACUUUCAGUGUAACAUCCAUCUUGCAACUCUGGUUAAUAUGAAGACUUUUUUUUCAUAUAUAUCUUUCAGAUAGCUCUGCUACAUUCGUGAUCAAGGAAUUA
rnacentral:lncRNA from 1 species